rnacentral:tRNA from 1 species
UGGCUCAGAUGGUAAAGCAUCUGCCUGCAAUGCAGGAGACCUGGGUUCGAUCCCGG